rnacentral:pre_miRNA from 1 species
UCCCUGAGACCCUAACUUGUGAUGGAUUCAUUGCUUCGCACAAGUUAGUGUCUCGGGCC